UACGUAGGGGGCGAGCGUUGUCCGGAGUUACUGGGCGUAAAGCGUGCGCAGGCGGUUCGCCAAGUCAGGUGUGAAAUCCCCGGGCUUAACCUGGGAAUUGCGCUUGAAACUAGCGGGCUUGAGUGCGGCAGAGGGGGGUGGAAUUCCACGUGUAGCAGUGAAAUGCGUAGAGAUGUGGAGGAAUACCGAUGGCGAAGGCAGCCCCCUGGGCCAAUACUGACGCUCAUGCACGAAAGCGUGGGGAGCAAACAGG
rnacentral:rRNA from 1 species